GACGAACGCUGGCGGCGUGGAUUAGGCAUGCAAGUCGAACGGUAUGGACCUUUCGGGGUUCAGAGAGUGGCGAACGGGUGAGUAACACGUAGGUAAUCUACCCUCAAGACGGGGACAACCCAGGGAAACUUGGGCUAAUACCGGAUGUGUGUAGUGGCUAUUUUUCUGAUUAUCAUUAUUUACGUAAGUGAGUAAUAAUAAGAAGGGAAAGUGGUUAUUACAUAAAAGGUGGCGUAAGCUGCCGCUUGGGGAUGAGCCUGCGUCCUAUUAGUUAGUUGGUGAGGUAACGGCUUACCAAGGCGAUGAUAGGUAGGCGGCCUUAACGGGUGGUCGCCCACACUGGGAUUGAGAUACGGCCCAGACUCCUACGGGAGGCAGCAGUCGAGAAUAGUCUACAAUGGACGGAAGUCUGAUAGUGCGACGCCGCGUGAACGAAGAAUCCCUUCGGGGUGUAAAGUUCUUUUAUACGUGAGCAGUGUCCUUUAUAUUAAUAGUAUAAGGGGAAGAUAUUAGCGUAUGAAUAAGCAACGGCUAAC
rnacentral:rRNA from 1 species